GUUGGGUUAAGUCCCGCAACGAGCGCAACCCUUGAUCUUAGUUGCCAGCAUUAACUUGGGCACUCUAAGGUGACUGCCGGUGACAAACCGGAGGAAGGUGGGGAUGACGUCAAAUCAUCAUGCCCCUUAUGACCUGGGCUACACACGUGCUACAAUGGAUGGUACAAAGGGCUGCAAGACCGCGAGGUCAAGCCAAUCCCAUAAAACCAUUCUCAGUUCGGAUUGUUAGGCUGCAACUCGCCUACAUGAAGCUGGAAUCGCUAGUAAUCGCGGAUCAGCAUGCCGCGGUGAAUACGUUCCCGGGCCUUGUACACACCGCCCGUCACACCACGAGAGUUUGUAACACCCGAAGUCGGUGGGGUAACCUUUAUGGAGCCAGCCGCCUAAGGUGGGACAGAUGAUUGGGGUGAAGUCGUAACAAGGUAGCCGUAUCGGAAGGUGCGGCUGG
rnacentral:rRNA from 1 species